AUAGACUAUGGAGUUUAAGUUAGAGGAAGAGAGACAGGGAGGAGGUUAUUGGGUUAGGCCAGGUGAGAGAGGAUGGUGGUUCAGAACAGGGCAGUAAACAAGGAAGUGGUGGGUGGUCAGAUACUUCAUAUAUUUGAAGGCAGAACCCAAUAGGAACUCUUGACAGACUGGAUGUGAGAUGCGGCAGAGAGAGAAGAUUCAUAGCUAACUCUAAGACUUUUGACCUGAGCAGAUGAAAGCAUGCAGUUGCCAUGAAGGUUGCAGAUGAGGUGGGUUAGAAAAGUAAGAUCUGGAAUUCUCUAUGAGAUCUAUUCAGUUUGAGAUACCCAAUAGAUAUUCGAGCGGAGAUGUUGACUAAAUAGUUAGAUAUGUGAGUCAGGAGUUCAAGAGAGAGGCUUGAGUUGGAGAAAUACAUUUAUGAGUUGUCAGAUUAGAGGUGGCAUUUAUGGCCCAGGAAACAGAUGAGAUUUUUAAGAAAGUGACUGUGGAGAGAGAAGGAAAACAGGCUCAGGACAGAGCCUGGGCAUUCCAACACUGAGAGGUUAGACAGGAAAGGCCAAAUCAGCCAGAUACUGAGAAGAAACAGAAGAAAACCAAGAAGGUAUGCUGUCCUGGCAGCCAAGUGUAGAGGGUGCAACAAGGAGGAGGGAAUCAUCAGUGUCAUAAAAUGCUGCUGGUCAGGUAAGAUGAGGACUCAGGAUUGACCCUUGGAAUGAUCAACAUGGAGGACACUUGUUGGCUUUGAUAAUAGUUUUGGUGGAGUCAUGUGGGCAAAAGCCUUAUUGGGGCCAGUUCAAGACAGAGUGGUAAGGGAAAAGUUGAGGACAGAAUUUACAGAUGGCUAUUAAGAAGUUCAGCCAUUAAAAAAUUGGGCAGUAGAUAGAGGGGAAAGUAGUCAAAAAGAGUUUUUUGUUCAUUUUAUUAAAGAUGCUACAAAUAAUGGCAUUGCAGUAGGCUGAUGGAAAUGAUUUAGUGAAGGGUGAAAAAUUGGGCUAGGGAGCAGGAACUAUUGGAGCAAUGUCCUUUACUGGGUGAGAGGAAUUAGGAUCUAGUAAAUAAACAGAAUCAAAAUAGGCUUUAAAACAGAACAGAAAUAGUUCAUAUAUGGUAACAAGCAAUUUGGGUGGAGUUUUUAUUUUAUGUAGAAAAUUGCAUUUUUUGAUCUGAGUUGUGAUAUUGAUCAUAAGAAAGCAACAGUGUUUGUUGAAUCCAUGAAAAGACAGCUUUAGACUUGGCAGCUGUGCCCCCCAAGACAUCUUCCCAGUACUCAUCCUGCAGAAACAUGCCUUAUCCCAAAGGCGAAGGUCAAGGGCCAGACGACUGAAAACACGCUCCAGGCUGUACAAGCAUGACACCAGCAUCUGCUCCACUUCUGAUGAGACCUCAUGAAAGAAGAUGAAGAGGGAGCCGGCUUAUCACAGGGCAAGAGCAGGAGCAACAGAGAUGGGGAGACGUGCCAAGCUGUUUUAAACAAUGAGGUCUCUCAUGAACUACCAGAGCGAGAACACACUCAUCACCAAGGUGAUGGUGCUAAGCCAUGCAUGAGGGAUCCAUGCCUGUGAUCCAAACACCUUCUACCAGUCCCCACCUCCAACAAUGGGAUUACAUUUCAACAUGAGAUUUGAGGGUAGCGAAUAUCCAAACUAUAUCAUUCUCCCCAAAUUUCCUUAUGCUUAUUUUUAAUUCCUCUCGCCCACCUGUCCCGCUGCCCUCAUCUCUUGGAAACCACUGUUCUGCUUUCUGUCACUAUUGAGACAGGUGGGCGGGUUGGUUCCAUUUUAAUGUGGUCGGGAGGAAAAGAACGAAAGCCCCUUGCUUAAGUGCUAGCUUACCUCUCAGCCAAUUAGUAACAAAAUGCCUAAGAAACUAUUAAAAACAACUUCCUCCCUCAGGGAGCUAGGGACUUCCCCAGGGCUCUGCAUGUGCAGUUAGACUUCAUCUCCAGCCUACAGUUACCCCUUCUUCAUUUCAGUGCUAACAAUCACACCCAGAGCAUGAAGAUUUAAAAUGCUAAUGCUACAUAGGAUGUAUGAAGAAGCAUGUAGAGCCACUGUGCAAGUGCUAGAAAAAACCCUCCCAUACAUGCCCUGACCCAACCCUUCCCUAUAGAGAGACUCAUUAAAACUAAUCCACACGCUACCCUCAGGAGGCAGCCCAUUCCUUUUGCUUUCAUGGUGCUGGCUCCUUGUGCACAAGCUGAAUAAAGUUUCCUUUGCUGCUA